UACGUAGGUGGCGAGCGUUGUCCGGAAUUACUGGGUGUAAAGCGCGUGUAGGCGGGAGGCCAAGUCUGUGGUGAAAUCGCCUGGCUUAACUGGGCGGGGUCCAUGGAAACUGGUCACCUGGAGGUCGGUAGAGGCAAGUGGAAUUCCCGGUGUAGUGGUGAAAUGCGUAGAGAUCCGGAGGAACACCAGUGGCGAAGGCGACACGCUGGGCCGUACCUGACACUGAUGCGCGACAGCAUGGGGAGCAAACAGG
rnacentral:rRNA from 1 species